rnacentral:rRNA from 1 species
UACGUAGGGGGGCAAGCGUUUGUCCCGGAAUCAUUGGGCGUAAAGAGCGCGUAGGCGGUCCGGUAAGUCGGUUGUGAAAACUGGGGGGCUCAACCCUCAGAGGCCGACCGAUACUGCCGGGCUAGAGUCCGGAAGAGGCGAGUGGAAUUCCUGGUGUAGCGGUGAAAUGCGCAGAUAUCAGGAGGAACACCAAUGGCGAAGGCAGCUCGCUGGGACGGUACUGACGCUGAGGCGCGAAAGCGUGGGGAGCAAACAGG